rnacentral:tRNA from 1 species
GGGGAUGUAGCUCAGUGGUAGAGCGCAUGCUUUGCAUGUAUGAGGCCCCGGGUUCAAUUCCUGGCAUCUCCA